rnacentral:rRNA from 1 species
UACAGAGGGCGCAAGCGUUAAUCGGAAUUACUGGGCGUAAAGCGUGCGUAGGCGGUUAUUUAAGUCGGGCGUGAAAGCCCCGGGCUCAACCUGGGAAUUGCGUUCGAUACUGGAUAGCUAGAGUUCGGCAGAGGGAAGCGGAAUUUCUGGUGUAGCGGUGAAAUGCGUAGAUAUCAGAAGGAACAUCAGUGGCGAAAGCGGCUUCCUGGACCAGAACUGACGAUCAGGCACGAAAGCGUGGGGAGCAAACAGG